UUAAAUCAGUUAUCGUCUAUUUGAUAGUACCUUACUACUCGGAUAACCGUGGUAAUUCUAGAGCUAAUACGUGCUGAAAACCCCGACUUCGGAAGGGGUGUAUUUAUUAGAUUAAAAGCCAAUGCCCCCCGGGGCCCCUUGGUGAUUCAUGAUAACUCCUCGAAUCGCACGGCCUUGCGCCGGCGAUGGUUCAUUCAAAUUUCUGCCCUAUCAACUUUCGACGGCUGGGUCUUGGCCAGCCGUGGUGACAACGGGUAACGGAGGGUUAGGGCUCGACCCCGGAGAAGGAGCCUGAGAAACGGCUACUACAUCCAAGGAAGGCAGCAGGCGCGCAAAUUACCCAAUCCCGACGCGGGGAGGUAGUGACAAUAAAUACUGAUACAGGGCUCUUUCGGGUCUUGUAAUUGGAAUGAGUACAAUUUAAUUCCCUUAACGAGGAACAAUUGGAGGGCAAGUCUGGUGCCAGCAGCCGCGGUAAUUCCAGCUCCAAUAGCGUAUAUUAAAGUUGUUGCAGUUAAAAAGCUCGUAGUUGAACCUUGGGCCUGGCUGGCCGGUCCGCCUCACCGCGUGCACUGGUCCGGCCGGGCCUUUCCCUCUGGGGAACCGCAUGCCCUUCGCUGGGCGUGCCGGGGAACCAGGACGUUUACUUUGAAAAAAUUAGAGUGUUCAAAGCAGGCUUAUGCUCGGAUACAUUAGCAUGGAAUAAUGGAAUAGGACGUGCGGUUCUAUUUUGUUGGUUUCUAGGACCGCCGUAAUGAUUAAUAGGGACAGUCGGGGGCAUCCGUAUUCAGUUGUCAGAGGUGAAAUUCUUGGAUCUACUGAAGACGAACUACUGCGAAAGCAUUUGCCAAGGAUGUUUUCAUUAAUCAGGAACGAAAGUUAGGGGAUCGAAGACGAUCAGAUACCGUCGUAGUCUUAACCAUAAACUAUGCCGACUAGGGAUCGGACGGUGUUGCUUUUUGACCCGUUCGGCACCUUGCACGAAAGUACAA
rnacentral:rRNA from 1 species